UCAAUAAUAAAGUAGCUGAAAUAUCCUCAAAGAGUUGAUGACGUUAUAAUAUAGCGCGAAUAUAUGCAAUACGCAUAGCCACUUUUGAUAACUCACUACCCCAACAAAAAUAAGAGCGCUAAUCAGUAAUACCUCCCACACGAUCCAUCCUACACAACUUUGAAGCAAAGUCAUUAGACAGCGAUUACAAGAACUACGAUAAGAAAGAUUACGAAAACGCCAACACGGACACGUUCAAAAAUAUUACGUACAGCAAUUCAACUAAUUUAUACCCCAACAGAAAUAGUGCAGCGUGAUACAAGACUUCGAAUCAUUAAUACUCCAGCGAUGAUAUGUCUCCUUGGCCUUGAACAGUUCUACGCAAAGACACCAAAUUGUCCAAAAUCAACAGGCCGCGUUUAAAUUUAGACGUCUUGUAGUGUAUACGUCCAGGAAUAGCCUUCGCAACACAAGAGAUCAUUUCCAAAUGUACAGAAUUAGAAAUUAGGCUGAAUACAGAACACUCACUUACCCAAUAAAAGAAUUGCGAAUCACAUUCGUCCGAGCGAAUAGCCCAGGUACACAAGAGUAAACCGGGCUACAGUCAAUAUAAAACCUAAAGUACAUAGCCACAAAUAAAUACGGAAAUCAUAGAACGAGACACAGAUAUCUCACCAACCAAUAUACAACCUAUAAACUAUACACCAUUAACUAAAGCGCUAAUGCGCCCCUGUGAAACUCUUUGUGUUAUAUCGCCGUAUAGACAAAACCAAAGACCAACAGCUCAGACUAGAAAUUAGAAUGCAAAUCGCUUUGCAAACAUCUGCUGUCACAACAAUUUCACGGGUAUGCUCAAUCGAGCGCUUGUUGACGACAUUCUAUACGCCAUCUACGUCACCCGCGGCGCUCUGACGCAACACUAGUCCCCAUACCUCGACGUCUUUCCGAAAGCAUUUGGCACAGUCAUGUGCAUCGCAUACGUCACUGUAUCACGUCUCGGAGCUGGUAAAUGUAAGCGAAAACGAAAUUUAUGC